rnacentral:tRNA from 1 species
AUUAAGGUGGCAGAGUCAGGUAAGUGCAGGGGGCCUAAGACCCCCCUCCCCAGGUGUUCAAGUCACCUCCUUAAUA